rnacentral:rRNA from 1 species
CAGCCGCCGCGGGAAAACGGAGGGGGCUAGCGUUGUUCGGAAUUACUGGGCGUAAAGCGCACGUAGGCGGCUUGGUAAGUUAGAGGUGAAAGCCCGGAGCUCAACUCCGGAAUUGCCUUUAAGACUGCCGAGCUAGUAGGUGAGAGAGGUAAGUGGAAUUCCGAGUGUUGAGGUGAAAUUCGUAGAUAUUCGGAAGAACACCAGUGGCGAAGGCGGCUUACUGGCUCAUUCUAGACGCUGAGGUGCGAAAACGUGGGGAGCAAACAGGAUUAGAUACCCCUGUAGUCCCUGUCUCUUAUAC